GGAAUCUUCCACAAUGGACGAAAGUCUGAUGGAGCAACGCCGCGUGAGUGAAGAAGGUUUUCGGAUCGUAAAACUCUGUUGUUGGAGAAGAACACGUUUGAGAGUAACUGUUCAGACGUUGACGGUAUCCAACCAGAAAGCCACGGCUAACUCCGUGCCAGCAGCCGCGGUAAUACGGAGGAUGCAAGCGUUAUCCGGAUUUAUUGGGUUUAAAGGGUGCGUAGGCGGUGCUACAAGUCAGCGGUGAAAGACCGGGGCCCAACCUCGGAAGUGCCGUUGAUACUGUAGUGCUGGAGUACCCAUGCCGUGGGAGGAAUGAGUGGUGUAGCGGUGAAAUGCAUAGAUAUCACUCAGAACACCGAUUGCGAAGGCAUCUCACGAAUGGGGGACUGACGCUGAGGCACGAAAGCGUGGGGAUCAAACA
rnacentral:rRNA from 1 species